rnacentral:rRNA from 1 species
UGGGGAAUAUUGCACAAUGGGGGAAACCCUGAUGCAGCGACGCCGCGUGAGCGAAGAAGGCUUUCGAGUCGUAAAGCUCUGUCCUAUGAGAAGAUAAUGACGGUAUCAUAGGAGGAAGCCCUGGCUAAAUACGUGCCAGCAGCCGCGGUAAUACGUAUGGGGCGAGCGUUGUCCGGAAUUAUUGGGCGUAAAGGGUACGUAGGCGGUUUUUUAAGUCAGGUGUCAAAGCGUGGAGCUUAACUCCAUUAAGCACUUGAAACUGAAAGACUUGAGUGAAGGAGAGGAAAGUGGAAUUCCUAGUGUAGCGGUGAAAUGCGUAGAUAUUAGGAGGGAUACCGGUUGCGAAGGCGACUUUCUGGGCUUUUACUGACGCUCAGGUACGAAAGCGUGGGGAGCAAACAGG